GGGGGCGUUUCUGGAUUCGACGGGGAUAGUUCGAGCAUGGGUGGCGGGUAGUGGGGACGCGUCCGCUUCAUCAACGCUAAAGCCUAUUAAACGGCAAACAACAAACAAACUACGCUGUAGCAGCUUAAUAACCUGCACACGUGCUUCUACCUAGCAUCGUCCAUGUGCUAGGAUAGGGGCUCAACUUUAGUGGACUACGCUGUCACAUCUCCGCCUGGGGUGUGCUGAAGAAGACAAUCAGGCUGGGUCUAGCGAUAGCCGGUUACGGGGCGCUUGCUAGAUCGACAACAAAACUGUGACUACACCCGUAGAAGCACAUGCGCCGUUAUCUUCGGACAGGGGUUCAACUCCCCUCGCCUCCAUCU
rnacentral:tmRNA from 1 species